GUGAACUCGAAGAGUAGGGCGGGACACGUGGUAUCCUGUCUGAAUAUGGGGGGACCAUCCUCCAAGGCUAAAUACUCCUGACUGACCGAUAGUGAACCAGUACCGUGAGGGAAAGGCGAAAAGAACCCCGGCGAGGGGAGUGAAAAAGAACCUGAAACCGUGUACGUACAAGCAGUGGGAGCACCUUCGGGUGUGACUGCGUACCUUUUGUAUAAUGGGUCAGCGACUUAUAUUCUGUAGCAAGGUUAACCGUAUAGGGGAGCCGCAGGGAAACCGAGUCUUAACUGGGCGUUAAGUUGCAGGGUAUAGACCCGAAACCCGGUGAUCUAGCCAUGGGCAGGUUGAAGGUUGGGUAACACUAACUGGAGGACCGAACCGACUAAUGUUGAAAAAUUAGCGGAUGACUUGUGGCUGGGGGUGAAAGGCCAAUCAAACCGGGAGAUAGCUGGUUCUCCCCGAAAGCUAUUUAGGUAGCGCCUCGUGAACUCAUCUUCGGGGGUAGAGCACUGUUUCGGCUAGGGGGUCAUCCCGACUUACCAACCCGAUGCAAACUACGAAUACCGAAGAAUGUUAUCACGGGAGACACACGGCGGGUGCUAACGUCCGUCGUGAAGAGGGAAACAACCCAGACCGCCAGCUAAGGUCCCAAAGUCAUGGUUAAGUGGGAAACGAUGUGGGAAGGCACAGACAGCCAGGAUGUUGGCUUAGAAGCAGCCAUCAUUUAAAGAAAGCGUAAUAGCUCACUGGUCGAGUCGGCCUGCGCGGAAGAUGUAACGGGGCUAAACCAUGCACCGAAGCUGCGGCAGCGACACUAUGUGUUGUUGGGUAGGGGAGCGUUCUGUAAGCCUGCGAAGGUGUGCUGUGAGGCAUGCUGGAGGUAUCAGAAGUGCGAAUGCUGACAUAAGUAACGAUAAAGCGGGUGAAAAGCCCGCUCGCCGGAAGACCAAGGGUUCCUGUCCAACGUUAAUCGGGGCAGGGUGAGUCGACCCCUAAGGCGAGGCCGAAAGGCGUAGUCGAUGGGAAACAGGUUAAUAUUCCUGUACUUGGUGUUACUGCGAAGGGGGGACGGAGAAGGCUAUGUUAGCCGGGCGACGGUUGUCCCGGUUUAAGCAUGUAGGCUGGUUNNNNNNNNNNNNNNNNNNNNNNNNNNNNNNNNNNNNNNNNNNNNNNNNNNNNNNNNNNNNNNNNNNNNNNNNNNNNNNNNNNNNNNNNNNNNNNNNNNNNNNNNNNNNNNNUGGAGCUGAGACCAGUCGAAGAUACCAGCUGGCUGCAACUGUUUAUUAAAAACACAGCACUGUGCAAACACGAAAGUGGACGUAUACGGUGUGACGCCUGCCCGGUGCCGGAAGGUUAAUUGAUGGGGUUAUCCGUAAGGAGAAGCUCUUGAUCGAAGCCCCGGUAAACGGCGGCCGUAACUAUAACGGUCCUAAGGUAGCGAAAUUCCUUGUCGGGUAAGUUCCGACCUGCACGAAUGGCGUAAUGAUGGCCAGGCUGUCUCCACCCGAGACUCAGUGAAAUUGAACUCGCUGUGAAGAUGCAGUGUACCCGCGGCAAGACGGAAAGACCCCGUGAACCUUUACUAUAGCUUGACACUGAACAUUGAGCCUUGAUGUGUAGGAUAGGUGGGAGGCUUUGAAGCGUGGACGCCAGUCUGCGUGGAGCCAACCUUGAAAUACCACCCUUUAAUGUUUGAUGUUCUAACGUUGGCCCCUUACCGGGGUUGCGGACAGUGUCUGGUGGGUAGUUUGACUGGGGCGGUCUCCUCCCAAAGCGUAACGGAGGAGCACGAAGGUUAGCUAAUCCUGGUCGGACAUCAGGAGGUUAGUGCAAUGGCAUAAGCUAGCUUGACUGCGAGCGUGACGGCGCGAGCAGGUGCGAAAGCAGGUCAUAGUGAUCCGGUGGUUCUGAAUGGAAGGGCCAUCGCUCAACGGAUAAAAGGUACUCCGGGGAUAACAGGCUGAUACCGCCCAAGAGUUCAUAUCGACGGCGGUGUUUGGCACCUCGAUGUCGGCUCAUCACAUCCUGGGGCUGAAGUAGGUCCCAAGGGUAUGGCUGUUCGCCAUUUAAAGUGGUACGCGAGCUGGGUUUAGAACGUCGUGAGACAGUUCGGUCCCUAUCUGCCGUGGGCGCUGGAGAAUUGAGGGGGGCUGCUCCUAGUACGAGAGGACCGGAGUGGACGCAUCACUGGUGUUCGGGUUGUCAUGCCAAUGGCACUGCCCGGUAGCUAAAUGCGGAAGAGAUAAGUGCUGAAAGCAUCUAAGCACGAAACUUGCCCCGAGAUGAGUUCUCCCUGAGACUUUAAGUCUCCUGAAGGAACGUUNGACGUUGAUAGGCCGGGUGUGUAAGCGCAGCGAUGCGUUGAGCUAACCGGUACUAAUGAACCGUGAGGCUUAACCUU
rnacentral:rRNA from 1 species